UCAUGGCUCAGAGCGAACGCUGGCGGCAGGCCUAACACAUGCAAGUCGAACGAACUCUUCGGAGUUAGUGGCGGACGGGUGAGUAACACGUGGGAACGUGCCUCUAGGUUCGGAAUAACUCAGGGAAACUUGUGCUAAUACCGAAUGUGCCCUUCGGGGGAAAGAUUUAUCGCCUUUAGAGCGGCCCGCGUCUGAUUAGCUUGUUGGUGGGGUAAUGGCCCACCAAGGCUACGAUCAGUAGCUGGUCUGAGAGGAUGACCAGCCACAUUGGGACUGAGACACGGCCCAAACUCCUACGGGAGGCAGCAGUGGGGAAUCUUGCGCAAUGGGCGAAAGCCUGACGCAGCCAUGCCGCGUGUAUGAUGAAGGUCUUAGGAUUGUAAAAUACUUUCACCGGUGAAGAUAAUGACUGUAGCCGGAGAAGAAGCCCCGGCUAACUUCGUGCCAGCAGCCGCGGUAAUACGAAGGGGGCUAGCGUUGCUCGGAAUUACUGGGCGUAAAGGGAGCGUAGGCGGACAUUUAAGUCAGGGGUGAAAUCCCGGAGCUCAACUCCGGAACUGCCCUUGAUACUGGGUGUCUUGAGUGUGAGAGAGGUAUGUGGAACUCCGAGUGUAGAGGUGAAAUUCGUAGAUAUUCGGAAGAACACCAGUGGCGAAGGCGACAUACUGGCUCAUUACUGACGCUGAGGCUCGAAAGCGUGGGGAGCAAACAGGAUUAGAUACCCUGGUAGUCCACGCCGUAAACGAUGAUUGCUAGUUGUCGGGGGGUUUACCUCUCGGUGACGCAGCUAACGCAUUAAGCA
rnacentral:rRNA from 1 species